rnacentral:rRNA from 1 species
GUGGGGAAUUUUGGACAAUGGGCGCAAGCCUGAUCCAGCCAUGCCGCGUGCGGGAAGAAGGCCUUCGGGUUGUAAACCGCUUUUGUCAGGGAAGAAAAGUUCCGGGUUAAUACCCUGGGAUGCUGACGGUACCUGAAGAAUAAGCACCGGCUAACUACGUGCCAGCAGCCGCGGUAAUACGUAGGGUGCGAGCGUUAAUCGGAAUUACUGGGCGUAAAGCGUGCGCAGGCGGUUGUGCAAGACAGAUGUGAAAUCCCCGGGCUCAACCUGGGAACUGCAUUUGUGACUGCACGACUGGAGUGCGGCAGAGGGGGAUGGAAUUCCGCGUGUAGCAGUGAAAUGCGUAGAUAUGCGGAGGAACACCGAUGGCGAAGGCAAUCCCCUGGGCCUGCACUGACGCUCAUGCACGAAAGCGUGGGGAGCAAACAGGAUUAGAAACCCCAGUAGUCC